ensembl:piRNA 21ur-5381 ncRNA
AUAAUACAGUUCUGUGAAAGU